UACGGAAGGCAGCAGUGGGGAAUAUUGCACAAUGGGCGCAAGCCUGAUGCAGCCAUGCCGCGUGUAUGAAGAAGGCCUUCGGGUUGUAAAGUACUUUCAGUCGUGAGGAAGGUGUUAAGGUUAAUAACCUUAGCAAUUGACGUUAGCGACAGAAGAAGCACCGGCUAACUCCGUGCCAGCAGCCGCGGUAAUACGGAGGGUGCGAGCGUUAAUCGGAAUUACUGGGCGUAAAGGGCACGCAGGCGGUUAAUUAAGUUGGAUGUGAAACGUCCCCGGGCUUAACCGUGGGAAUGGCAUUCAAGACUGGUUAGCUAGAGUCUUGUAGAGGGGGUAGAAGUUCCAGUGUGUAGCGGUGAAAUGCGUAGAGAUGUGGAGGAAUACCGGUGGCGAAGGCGGCCCCUGGACAAAGGCUGACGCUCAUGUGCGAAAGCGUGGGGAGCGAAAACAGGGAUUAGAU
rnacentral:rRNA from 1 species